rnacentral:rRNA from 1 species
AGAGUUUGAUCCUGGCUCAGGAUGAACGCUAGCGGCAGGCUUAACACAUGCAAGUCGAGGGGCAGCGCGAUGUAGCAAUACAUUGGCGGCGACCGGCGCACGGGUGAGUAACACGUAUGGAACCUGCCCUUUACUGGGAAAUAACCCGGAGAAAUCCGGACUAAUGUCCCAUAAUGAGCGAGAUGGCAUCAUCUUGCUUUGAAAGCUCCGGCGGUAAAGGAUGGCCAUGCGCCCGAUUAGCUUGUUGGUGAGGUAAUGGCUCACCAAGGCUACGAUCGGUAGGGGGCCUGAGAGGGCUAUCCCCCACACUGGUACUGAGACACGGACCAGACUCCUACGGGAGGCAGCAGUGAGGAAUAUUGCGCAAUGGAGGCAACUCUGACGCAGCCAUGCCGCGUGCAGGAAGAAGGCGCUACGCGUUGUAAACUGCUUUUAUCCGGGAAGAAACCCCUCCACGUGUGGAGGGUUGACGGUACCGGAGGAAUAAGCACCGGCUAACUUCGUGCCAGCAGCCGCGGUAAUACGAAGGGUGCAAGCGUUAUCCGGAUUCAUUGGGUUUAAAGGGUGCGUAGGCGGAACAAUAAGUCAGCGGUGAAAGCCCGUAGCUUAACUACGGAAUUGCCGUUGAUACUGUUGUUCUUGAGUACGCUUGACGUGGGCGGAAUGUGCCGUGUAGCGGUGAAAUGCUUAGAUAUGGCACAGAACACCGAUAGUGAAGACAGCUCACGAAGGCGAAACUGACGCUGAGGCACGAAAGCGUGGGGAUCAAACAGGAUUAGAUACCCUGGUAGUCCACGCCGUAAACGAUGAUCACUCGUGAUUGGCGAUAUACGGUCAGUCACCUAGCGAAAGCGUUAAGUGAUCCACCUGGGGAGUACGAUCGCAAGAUU